AAUCAACGCUGGCGGCGUGCCUAACACAUGCAAGUCGGACGCGAAAGCCCCGCAAGGGGCCGGUAGAGUGGCGCACGGGUGAGUAACACGUGGAUAACCUGCCUGGCAGAGGGGACUAACCUCCCGAAAGGGGGGCUAAUGCCACAUAAGACCUCGGGGCGAAGGCUCAGGGGUUGAAAGGGGAGACCCGCUGGCAGAGGGGUCCGCGCCUGAUUAGCUGGUUGGUGAGGUAACGGCUCACCAAGGCUGCGAUCAGUAGCCGUCCUGAGAGGGAGCACGGCCACACUGGAACUGAGACACGGACCAGACUCCUACGUGAGGCAGCAGUAGGGAAUCUUCCGCAAUGGACGAAAGUCUGACGGAGCACCGCCGCGUGAGCGAUGAAGGCCUUCGGGUCGUAAAGCUCUGUUGUUAGGGAAGAACAAGUAUCGGAGUAACUGCCGGUACCUUGACGGUACCUAACCAGAAAGCCACGGCUAACUACGUGCCAGCAGCCGCCGUAAAAC
rnacentral:rRNA from 1 species